rnacentral:rRNA from 1 species
UACAGAGGUCUCAAGCGUUGUUCGGAUUCACUGGGCGUAAAGGGUGCGUAGGUGGCCUGAAAAGUUUGAUGUGAAAGCUCAGGGCUUAACCCUGAAAUGGCAUUGAAUACUGUCGGGCUGGAGGUUUGGAGGGGGGACUGGAAUUCUUGGUGUAGCAGUGAAAUGCGUAGAUAUCAAGAGGAACACCAGUGGCGAAGGCGAGUCCCUGGACAACACCUGACACUGAGGCACGAAAGCUAGGGGAGCAAACAGG